rnacentral:rRNA from 1 species
UACGUAGGGUGCAAGCGUUAAUCGGAAUUACUGGGCGUAAAGCGUGCGCAGGCGGUUAUGUAAGACAGGUGUGAAAUCCCCGGGCUUAACCUGGGAACUGCAUUUGUGACUGCAUAGCUAGAGUACGGUAGAGGGGGAUGGAAUUCCGCGUGUAGCAGUGAAAUGCGUAGAUAUGCGGAGGAACACCGAUGGCGAAGGCAAUCCCCUGGACCUGUACUGACGCUCAUGCACGAAAGCGUGGGGAGCAAACAGGAUUAGAACCGUACCCGUCAGAUCAAGUCCAGACCAGUCUACCUGCAUACCGCUAUACCACCC